GAUGAACGCUGGCGGCGUGCCUAAUACAUGCAAGUCGAGCGAACGGACGAGAAGCUUGCUUCUCUGAUGUUAGCGGCGGACGGGUGAGUAACACGUGGAUAACCUACCUAUAAGACUGGGAUAACUUCGGGAAACCGGAGCUAAUACCGGAUAAUAUUUUGAACCGCAUGGUUCAAAAGUGAAAGACGGUCUUGCUGUCACUUAUAGAUGGAUCCGCGCUGCAUUAGCUAGUUGGUAAGGUAACGGCUUACCAAGGCAACGAUGCAUAGCCGACCUGAGAGGGGGAUGGGCAAAAUUGGAACUGAGACACGGUGCAGGCUGCGACGGGAGGAAGAAGUAGGGAUUAUUCCGCAAGGUGCGAAAGCCGGACGGAGCAACGAGGGGUGAGUGAUGAAGGUCUUAGGAUCGUAAAACUCUGUUAUUAGGGAAGAACAAAUGUGUAAGUAACUAUGCACGUCUUGAAGGUACCUAAUCAGAAAGCCACGGCUAAAUACGUG
rnacentral:rRNA from 1 species